rfam:Myotis lucifugus cont2.54192, whole genome shotgun sequence.
ACCCCCUGCCAUUGGCAAGGAGACAUCUGAUGGGUGGUGUUGCUCAUAUCAAUCAGGGCCAAAGCAGAUGUACAGUCCUAGUUCAUCCUAGCUUGAUGCCUGUGUCGGUGCCAGAGCUGUUCAUGCUGAGCACAUAA